CACGGGGGGAGCAAGCGUUGUUCGGAAUCACUGGGCGUAAAGGGCGUGUAGGCGGUCAGGUAAGUGGGAUGUGAAAUGCCCCGGCUCACCCGGGGACCGGCAUCCCAUACUGCUUGGCUUGAGUACGGGAGAGGAUGUGGGAAUUCCUGGUGUAGCGGUGAAAUGCGUAGAUAUCAAGUGGAACACCAGUGGCGAAGGCGAGUCUCUGGACAUUUCCUGACGCUGAGGCACGAAAGCCAGGGGAGCAAACGGG
rnacentral:rRNA from 1 species